GAAAUGCGAUAAGUAGUGUGAAUUGCAGAAUUCAGUGAAUCAUCGAAUCUUUGAACGCACAUUGCGCCCCUUGGUAUUCCAUGGGGCAUGCCUGUUCGAGCGUCAUUUGUACCCUCAAGCUCUGCUUGGUGUUGGGUGUUUCUCCCGUCUCCGCGCGUGGACUCGCCCCAAAGUGAUUGGCAGCCGGCGUACUGGUCCCGGAGCGCAGCACAUGUCGCGCAAACGAGUGCCUUGGUACGGCGGCGUCCAUAAGCCCCUCUCUCACGCUCUUGACCUCGGAUCAGGUAGGGAUACCCGCUGAACUUAAGC
rnacentral:misc_RNA from 1 species